rnacentral:rRNA from 1 species
GUAGGUGGCAAGCGUUGUCCGGAAUUAUUGGGCGUAAAGCGCGCGCAGGCGGUCCUUUAAGUCUGAUGUGAAAGCCCACGGCUCAACCGUGGAGGGUCAUUGGAAACUGGGGGACUUGAGUACAGAAGAGGAAAGCGGAACUCCAAGUGUAGCGGUGAAAUGCGUAGAGAUUUGGAGGAACACCAGUGGCGAAGGCGGCUUUCUGGUCUGUAACUGACGCUGAGGCGCGAAAGCGUGGGGAGCAAACAGGAUUAGAUACCCUGGUAGUCCACGCCGUAAACGAUGAGUGCUAAGUGUUAGGGGGUUUCCCGCCCCCUUAGUGCUGCAGCUAACGCAUUAAGCACUCCGCCUGGGGAGUACGGCCGCAAGGCUG